rnacentral:sRNA from 1 species
CCCCUGCAAAGAAAAAAACAAAAAACCUCUGUUAUCUUUUGAUAACAGAGGUUUCCGUGUAUUCCUUCGUAUUCC